GUCGGACACAACUGAGCAACUAAGCAUAGCACAGAACAGCUAAAAUUAACAAGAUUGGCCACAUCAAGUGUUGGGAGGAUGUUGGGCAUCUGGAACUCUCAUUCUUUUAGGUAGGAAUGCAAAGGGUGCAUCCACUUAGGAGAACAUUCAGAUGCUUCUUAUAAAGUUGAACAUACAAUUACCUCCGACUCAGUGAUGACUGCCUUAUGUAUUCACAUGAGGGAAAUUAAAACAUUUGUCCACAAAACAAUUUGUAUGCAAAUGUCCCUUAGCAACUUAAUUCAAAAUAGACCUCGACUGGAAACAACCCAAAUAUUCACCAAAUAGUGGAUGGAUAGAUAAACUGUGACGUAUCCAUACCAGGGAAUACUACUCAAGAACAAAAAGGCGUGAACCGCUCAUAUGGACGUGCACACAUCGAUGUGCACAGAUCUGCAGAGUGUUCUGCUGAGAGAAGAAGACAGGCCCCAGAGACUACACACCAGAUGUGGACACAGAUGCACUGAGUCAAGAGACCUGCCCAAGGAAGGCAUCCAGAGCUGGAAUGUGAGCCCAGGUGGGGAUUCUGCCCUGGAGCAUCUGGACCUUACCCCAGGAGGCCCGUGAGUGAAGGGACGUGGCCAAGUCUCCUGGGUCAGGCCGAGACAG
ensembl:lncRNA